AUAUGGAAAUUACAUAAGUGUAAAUUGGAAUAACUUGUGAAGGACAAAAUAGUAAUUUUGUAGUAAUAGCCAUAUAAGUUCCAAGAUGAGAAGAACAACUCUCUUUCUCAAAACACUCUCACGCCCAACCUCCCUUUCUCACCAUAACCACAAACUUCAUACUCCAUUAAUCCAUCAAAUUUCUUAAUGCAUGUAUGAAUUCUUCUUAACCCAUCAUCAAUUAAACUCAAUAGAAGCAAAAACCAACCCUAUCUUCCUCUCCUUCCCACUCUUAGCCACAAACCCCUUUCUUCCUCACAAACUCAUACCUUCCACCAUUUGCACGAAUUUCUUAUGGGUAGCUUGUAGAUGUUGGAAACCAAUGUAAUGUAAGCAUUCCUAAACUUUCCCCUCUUCUGUGUUGAUUUGACCGAUUUUGAUGGUUAGAGAAUGAGAUAGUUAUUAUCCGAUUUCCCUUGAAAGUGAAGGUUGAAAGAAGUCAUGUUUCACUGUUAGUUUGGAAUUUCAGCAAAGAUGUGGACUUGUAACAGUGGAGACUAAAGAUUGAAGCUUGGAAGAAAUUGAAGAGAAUGGAAAAGAAAGAAAUUGGAAGGAUUUGGGUUAAACCCGUAUUCUGGACAGACCUCCACUAAAAAGUUUCAUGGAUUUCUAAGCAGUAAUGAAUUCGGAAGAAGCAUUUGAAGUUCGAGGUCUGAUGCAGAACUUUGGGCUACGGGUUUAGAGUGUUGUGGCUGCAAAUUCUGUUUUUCAACUAGCUCCGAAUAUGUUGUUAGCACGAUUCAAACGUCAUGUUCAGGUAACAGGUUGAGCAUGAUAAAUGGAUUUUCAAGAGGAUUGAAGUAAAGACGCUGUUUAUGGAAACUUCGUAGCAUUCACCUGUUAAAUUAUUAUAGAAGAUGAUUCAAGGCUUGAGCCUGAUUGUUAUGCAUUCUAUUUCGCUCU